rnacentral:rRNA from 1 species
CAGUCGCCGCGGUAAUACGGAGGGUGCAAGCGUUAAUCGGAAUUACUGGGCGUAAAGCGCACGCAGGCGGUUUGUUAAGUCAGAUGUGAAAUCCCCGAGCUUAACUUGGGAACUGCAUUUGAAACUGGCAAGCUAGAGUCUUGUAGAGGGGGGUAGAAUUCCAGGUGUAGCGGUGAAAUGCGUAGAGAUCUGGAGGAAUACCGGUGGCGAAGGCGGCCCCCUGGACAAAGACUGACGCUCAGGUGCGAAAGCGUGGGGAGCAAACAGGAUUAGAUACCCGAGUAGUCCCUGUCUCUUAUAC